UACGGAGGAUGCGAGCGUUAUCCGGAUUUAUUGGGUUUAAAGGGUGCGUAGACGGGCUUUUAAGUCAGCGGUAAAAAUUCGGGGCUCAACCCCGUCCGGCCGUUGAAACUGGGGGCCUUGAGUGGGCGAGAAGAAGGCGGAAUGCGUGGUGUAGCGGUGAAAUGCAUAGAUAUCACGCAGAACCCCGAUUGCGAAGGCAGCCUUCCGGCGCCCUACUGACGCUGAGGCACGAAAGUGCGGGGAUCGAACAGG
rnacentral:rRNA from 1 species